GACGUAGGUGGCGAACGUUAUCCGGAAUGAUUGGGCGUAAAGCGUCCGCAGGUGGCUGUGUAAGUCUGCUGUCAAAGAGCAAAGCUCAACUUUGUAAAGGCAGUGGAAACUACACGGCUAGAGUGCGUUCGGGGCAGAGGGAAUUCCUGGUGUAGCGGUGAAAUGCGUAGAGAUCAGGAAGAACACCGGUGGCGAAGGCGCUCUGCUAGGCCGCAACUGACACUGAGGGACGAAAGCUAGGGGAGCGAAUGGG
rnacentral:rRNA from 1 species